UAUAUCCCGUCCCGGUUAUUACAGCGACCGCUACACCUCCUGCAUCAGCCACCUUCAUCGCUGCCGGCGCCGCUCUUGUCUGUUCUGCCAUCUUCAUCAUCGCUAUUCUGCCGACCUGGGAAAAGGAAAAUAUAUACUAUACAUAUAUAUAAUUAUAAAAAAAGUUAAGAGUAACAGACACACCUUCUUCCCUUUCCUUCCCUUACGACUGCAAAAUCUUGAGGAGGAUACAGAGAGACAGAGUUUUAGAGAGAGAAAUACGAGUUUUAGAGAUGGCAGCGGACGCACCGUGCUGUGGGACUAUAUUCGCGCUGUAUGUGCUGAUAAUCAUAGGACUUGUGAUCUUCGCUGGUCUCAUGGCUGGUCUCACUCUUGGCCUCAUGUCUCUCGGCCUCGUCGACCUCGAAGUCCUCAUCAAGUCAGGCCGUCCCUAAGAACGCAUCCACACUUAUGGAUCCAUUGAUCACUUGCUGGGGGCAAGGCAACUAACUGCCACACUCUUCUCAAGCGCUAACGAGAAAGAACAAGGAUGCAGGUUCAGAGGUUCGGUACAAGUUGUCCAAUUCCUAUCUUUCCAAGAUGACAGUUCACAGCUUAUAGGAUGACUGUUAUGUGGCAACAAAAGAACCCUUUUCUCUUAUUCGGCAAGGGCGGGAACGGGCUGAACUGUUCUUUCUUUAGUUGCGGCGGUGAAGACAUUUCCGUAGCCCGCCGGUAAGUUUUUCAGGCUGCAAGAUGGUCGUGACGAUGGAGAGAGUUUGGACGGAGUGUUCCCACUGCCAUUCCGUACCGUCGUCCAUGUCUCAAUCCGUCACCGUCAAGACUCAAAACCUUGCCAUCAUCUUCACCAUCGCCGGCCCAUCAACAUCCAGCCAUCUCCGUCGCUUUGAACCUGCCGUCCAUCAUCACCAUAGACCCACUUCGCCGGCGUGCACUCCAUGCUAACCUGUGAAGACAAUUCUGCCAGUAAGUUUGCCGGACACGUUAACCGUCCACUCAUGGUCAUAGCCUCCUGUUCUCGCCAUUCCAUGCCGCCUUGCAAUCACUUCAUCCAUCAUCACUAACGUCAGAACAAACCCACCCCAAUUCGGCGAUUGCUAGCAGCCACCCAUCACCGCUUGCCUCUGCAGAACAGACCCACCUCUUACUGGUUCAUUCCUUGGCUGCUGUUCCUUAAAUUUCAGCGUCAUCAGUGCCGACAUUUCAAGCUUCCCGCCGAGCAGCUCAUUCCACCAAUAAACUCUGCCAAUAGGAUUCAGUUUAUGUUUUGGGGACAUUUUGGUCAUUUCAGAUGGGUCUGUUGGGAUAGUUAAGUCAUUUUAUAUAUGAAAUAAAAUCAGUACAAAAUCAAAAGGGUUUUAUAGUCAUUUUACACUUAAAAGUAACUCUACAUUUGGGGUAUAAGUGAAACACUAAAUCACUCUUUCAAAUAUAAGUGAAAAAUAAAACCAAAAUUUUCAUGUAGGUGUAAACCUCAGAGGGUCUGAGUAUAAUUUACCCUUAUUAUUAACCUCAAUGUAAGUUUUAAACACUGAAUUAAAAAAAAAAAAAAAAAAAAAAAAAA